CGUAUUGUGUGUGCGCCAUUAGGUACAUAUUUGGUAAACAUCCGAAUGUACUGGUAAAAUAAUUAAGUUAUAUAUAUUUGCUUUACUUGCCAUGGACGGAGAAUACUAGAGCAAUUCUGCAGAAUGGGAGGCACAAGAUGGCAGCAUGAUUCAAUCUUUUUCUAUCACUCCAGGAGGAUGGAUUUGGGGAUGCUGAGGCUGAUGGCAAAGUUCAAGAGGAGUGUCUGCAGAAAUUAUCCAGUAGAGAGUAUAUCAUGGAGCCUGCCAUGUUUAACACCCUGAAAAGGUGGUUCACCUGCUGCUCUCAGAGAAUUACUCUGCUGUUGCACAGACAGUGAAUCUGCUGGUGGAGUGGCUCAUACAGAUAGGAGUGGAACCCACCCAGGUGCAGGAGCGUGUUGAGAAUCAUUUGAAGAGUGUCUUGAUCAAACACUUUGACCCUCAGAAAGCAGAUUCAAUCUUCACUGUUAUGGGAGAGGUGACAUAAAUAGGUUUACUCACUGUAAUCAAAUCUAUUAUCAUAAAACUUUAGAUUUCUUAGGUAUGUUCAGAUCAUUAAAACAGAUUUAUAAAAUAUAUAAUUUCUUUUAAGGAUUACUAUAUUUGUUUUGUUUUUUCCUUUAGUGAUUUGCACAUUUGCUUUAAUAUUUUCCCUUAGGGAUUAGUGUAUUCGUUUUGUUAUUUUUUUACUUUAGAGAUUAGUGUAAUUUUCUGUUUAGUUUUUCCCUUUAGGUGUGUGUGUGUGUGUGUGUGUAUUUAGGGAUUAGUGCAAUUUUUUUAGGUAUUUUUCCUUAGGAUUAGUGUUUUAUUUAUAUUUUUCAUUAGAGAUUAGUGCAAUUUUUGGUUUAGCUUUUUCUGUAGGGAUUUGCACAUUUGUUUUGUUUAGCAUUUUUCCUUGGGGACUAGUGUUUUAGGUUUUUAAAUUUGUUCCUAUUGGAUUAAUGCAUUAGUUUAGUAUUUUUUUCUAUAUUGAUUAGUAUAUUUUUUAUUUUGGCUUUCCUUUAGGGUUUAGAACAUUUGUUUGUUUUUUCCUUUAGGGAUUAGAACAUUUGUUUGUUUUUUCCUUUAGGGAUUAGAACAUUUGUUUGUUUUUUCCUUUAGGGCUUAGUACAUUUGUUUGUUUUUUCCUUUAGGGCUUAGUACAUUUGUUUGUUUUUUCCUUUAGGGCUUAGUACAUUUGUUUGUUUUUUCCUUUAGGGAUUAGUACAUUUGUUUGUUUUUUCCUUUAGGGAUUAGUACAAUUGUUUUGAUUAGUUUAGUUUUAUCCUUUAGGCAUUAGUACAAUUGUUUUGUCCUUUUAGGAAUUAGUAUUUGCUUGUUUUCUCUUUUGGUAGUGAUUACAAACUUUUAAACACUUGUUAUUAUAUUACCUUUAUACACUAACAAAUACUAGUUAUUUCCAAAAGCAGCACUUGUCAGAAAUGUACGUUCACAUUGACUAUGUUCCUUUGUGCUUCACAUAUACAAAGAAAUAACAUUAUUUGACAUUAUUUUAUUUCUCUGUUGGCGAUAUUUUCCUCACUGUAUGGAGUUGUAAUAUAGCUAAGUCUUUCAGAAAGCAAUUGUUAAAUACAAAAUGAGUUGAGCCCUGUUAACAAUAUGCCGCUCUGCUAGACGCCAGCAUGUCUGGAACAGAUGAUUGCACACACAAAAUGGAGAGAUCUGUUCUACAAACUUGCUGAAGCCCAUCCAAACUGCCUGAUGCUCAACUUCACUGUCAAGGUAAAGGAGCACCCUAGCGAAGGCUGAAGGCACAGGUUUUCAGUGGUAGCGAUGGCCGUGUUAAAGUGAGUUGACUGGAAGGUAUCUGAGCCUCAUUACUUUUGCAGCUACAGCUAGCGAUAACACACCUGUUCAUUUAGCUCUGCUGGAUGAGGUAACCUUUGCCUCUCUAUCACACCUUUACGUUAGAGUUCAAACUGGCUUGUAAUAUGCAUCAUACCUAUCAGCCAUAUUUAUUGAGUGAAUGUGUGUGUUUGUGUUUAUUUCUCAGAUCAGCACAUGCCAUCAGCUUCUUCAUCCUCAGGUUCUGCAGUUGCUCGUAAAACUGUUUGAGACAGAACACUCACAGCUUGAUGUCAUGGAGCUGGUUUGUUAAAGACAGCAUCAAACCCUACAAUAAUUACAGAAGAAUUAGUACAAUUUAUACAGUGAUCAUGGAAAACCUGGAAACACCUUGGAGUUCUAAAACUGUGAUAUCCAGGACUGGAAAAGUCAUGGAAAUGUAUAAAAUCUUUCUCUGUUUUCUGAAUAUGUCUCUAGACAUGGUACAUUUAUUAUUAUACAAUAGAUAUGGAAGUGUAUGAAGGACAAAUGUGUUUGGUACAAAAAAAGACAAUGCAGGUGUAGCUUCAAUAAAGAUUCUAAUCUGAGCAAUAUGUGAUGACACACAGAUUGUAAAUAAGGUUUAUUUGGCGAGAACCUGUGUCUCAUAGUCGUCAUUCGCACCUAAGUGUACCACCUAGUGGUGAAGAUUAGUAGCAGCAAGCGAGGCACUAACACUUUUGCUGAAAUACCAGGAUGUGCAAGGUUGAACUUCAUUCUGAAUUUGAACCACUCAAAUGUGUGAAGUGAAAUAUAAUGGACCGAAUAUUAACUUAAUAUUAAUGAAUAAAAAAAUUGAAAUUCUUUGAACUGAUCUUUUGUUAAAUGUUUAAUGAUGAAUUAUUGUGCAAACAUUUUUCAGUUGAAAUAAUCACAUCUUAAAUAUACAACUGUAAAAUUGCAUUCCCCAAAACUGUAAACAUUAAUAAAAGUUAAUUUAAUGCGUUUAUUUUUCAAUUAGUGCAUUUCACCAUGCUUUUUUUUGUAGUGAAGACAUUCGUCACUAACAUACUUCCAUAAUCAGGGAAAUAAAAACAAAUGUUACAGCCAAACGUCUUCCUCAUCCUUUGGCUGCUAUGUUUGUAUUUAUUCCUCUGUUCUAAAAUAAUAAAAUAAACUUUUAGUUCUGUUCAAGUUUUUUGGUCUUUGCUCCUGAACUUGCUGGGAUAGUGCGUCGACAACUUUUGUUUAAUUAAUGAAAUCUUUCAAAGACAAGUGUAAGACAGACAUUUCUAAAGUACAUAGAUGUUGGAAAUUGCUCUUUUGUAAAUGCAAUCUCUAUUAAACUAUUUUACAAAUCCUCAUCAGUUAAUAAAGUUAUUUACCCCCCCAGUGCUCAUAAUCAUGGCUCCAAAGCCUGACUUUUUAAUCUCUUGUUAAUUUAUUGUCGCUGGAGCUCAAGAAAACCUUACUGGAUCAUAUGGUUCAUCUGCUGAGUCAAGGUUAUGUGCUUCCUGUGGUCAGCUAUAAAUGUCUUAUGAAACUCAACACAGACGUUUUGCUGAACAGAUACUUUGUUACAGAGGUUAGGCAGUUUUUGAAAUGUCAUCAUAUGCUGCACACAUGAAAAUCUCAUUAUGUAGUGCUUUAUAACCAGUUCAGGGUUGGUUUUCUGAAGUCUUCCUCUCCCAAUUACCUCUUGGGACAGGUUCUGGAUGUGAUAACUCCUCCAUACACUGCCG